GAGGGUAUAGCUUAGAGUGUGUGCUUAGCAAGCACGAGGUCCUGGGUUCAAUCCUCAGUACCUCCA
rnacentral:tRNA from 1 species